rnacentral:rRNA from 1 species
UCAAGCUAGAGAGGGCACACGGAGGAUGCCUUGGCGCUUUGAGCCGAAGAAGGGCGCAGUAAGCGGCGAAACGCCCCGGGGAGUCGCAAACAGACGUCGAUCCGGGGAUACCCGAAUGGGGGAACCCGCCUGGGGUAAUACCCAGGCAUCCCUGCCUGAACCCAUAGGGCAGGGAAGGGCACCGGGUGAACUGAAACAUCUCAGUAGCCCGAGGAAAAGAAAGAAACCUCGAAGCCCCAAGUAGCGGCGAGCGAACAGGGCCGAGCCCAAACCCAGCCGGUGCAGAGCCUGCCGGCGUUGCCGGCUGGGGGUAGCGGGAGCUGCAGGGCUUUGCGGCAGCAGAGCCGAAGCCGAACGCGGAUGAGCCGAACGCCCUGGAAAGGGCGGCCGAAGAGAGUGAGAGCCUCGUAGGCCGAAAGCCGCCUCAAGCUUAGCAGCCACCCAAGUACCACGGAGCACGUGGAAUUCCGUGGGAAUCCGGGAGGACCACCUCCUAAGGCUAAAUACUCAAAGCGACCGAUAGCGCACCAGUACCGUGAGGGAAAGGUGAAAAGCACCCCGGGAGGGGAGUGAAAAAGAACCUGAAACCGUGUGUCCACAAGCCGUGGAAGCGCAAGCGACCGCGUGCCUAUUGAAGAAUGAACCGGCGAGUUGCGUACAGUUGCGAGGUUAAGGCCGAAAAGCCGGAGCCGGAGCGAAAGCGAGUCUGAAAGGGCGCAAGUAGCUGUACGCAGACCCGAAACCGGGUGAUCUACCCAUGGCCAGAGUGAAACGAGAGUAAAACCUCGUGGAGGCUCGAACCCACCAGUGUUGAAAAACUGGGGGAUGAGCUGUGGGUAGGGGUGAAAUGCCAAUCGAACCCGGAGAUAGCUGGUUCUCCCCGAAAUAGCUUUAGGGCUAGCCUCAGGGAUGAGCUGCGGAGGUAGAGCACUGAUUGGGCUAGGGGCCUUACCGGGUUACCGAACCCAUUCAAACUCCGAAUGCCGCAGCUUGGACCCUGGGAGUCAGACUACGGGCGCUAAGGUUCGUGGUCAAGAGGGAAAGAGCCCGGACCGACAGCUAAGGUCCCCAAGCUGGGCUAAGUGGAUAAGGAUGUGGGAUCGCCCAGACAGCCAGGAUGUUGGCUUAGAAGCAGCCAUUCAUUCAAAGAGUGCGUAAUAGCUCACUGGUCGAGUGAUCCUGCGCCGAAAAUACACGGGGCUCAAGCCCAGCACCGAAGCUUCGGAUGAUGGCGGUUGGCUGCAGCCCACCGCCAACAUGGUAGGGGAGCGUUCCUUACGGGUAGAAGCAUACCUGGGAGGGUGUGUGGACCGUAAGGAAGAGCGAAUGCCGGUAUGAGUAGCGAAAAGGCAGGUGAGAAUCCUGCCCGCCGUAAGCCUAAGGAUUCCUGAGGAAGGAUCGUCCGCUCAGGGUCAGGCGGGACCUAAGCCGAGGCCGGAAGGCGUAGGCGAUGGACAGCCGGUUAAAAUUCCGGCCCCACCUGAGGCCGUUUGAGCGACGGGGUGACGCAGGAGGGUAGGUCGAGCGCACGGGUGGAAGAGUGCGUCCAAGCCGGUAGGAAGAGCGGGGAGGCAAAUCCCCCCGUGGGUUCCGAGAGGUGAUGGGGAGCGGCUACGGCUGCGAAGCGACCGAGCCCAAACUGCCGAGAAAAACCCCUAGCGAGGCCGAAGGUGCCCGUACCGCAAACCGACACAGGUAGGCGGGGAGAGAAUCCCGAGGCGCGCGAGAGAACCCUCGUUAAGGAACUCGGCAAAAUGGCCCCGUAACUUCGGGAGAAGGGGCGCCGGCCUGGGAGUAGGGCGAACGCCCGAAGCCCGGGCGGGCCGCAGUGAAAAGGCCCAAGCGACUGUUUACCAAAAACACAGGUCCCUGCCAAGUGGAAACACCACGUAUAGGGGCUGACGCCUGCCCGGUGCUGGAAGGUUAAGGGGAAGGGUGAGAGCCUUGAACCGAAGCCCCAGUAAACGGCGGCCGUAACUAUAACGGUCCUAAGGUAGCGAAAUUCCUUGUCGGGUAAGUUCCGACCCGCACGAAAGGCGUAACGACUUGGGCGCUGUCUCAACGAGGGACUCGGUGAAAUUGCAAUACCUGUGAAGAUGCAGGUUACCCGCGACUGGACAGAAAGACCCCGUGGAGCUUUACUGUAACCUGACAUUGGAUUUUGGUGUGGCCUGUACAGGAUAGGUGGGAGGCAGAGAAGCCGAGCCGCCAGGCCCGGUGGAGCCGACCUUGGGAUACCACCCUGGCGACACUGAAGUUCUAACCUCAAGCCGUGAACCGGCUGAGGGACCGUGUCAGGCGGGCAGUUUGACUGGGGCGGUCGCCUCCCAAAGGGUAACGGAGGCGCCCAAAGGUUCCCUCAGCGCGGUUGGGAAUCGCGCCGAAGAGUGUAAAGGCAGAAGGGAGCUUAACUGCGAGACAGACACGUCGAGCAGGGACGAAAGUCGGGCUUAGUGAUCCGGUGGUUCCGAGUGGAAGGGCCAUCGCUCAACGGAUAAAAGCUACCCCGGGGAUAACAGGCUUAUCUCCCCCAAGAGUUCACAUCGACGGGGAGGUUUGGCACCUCGAUGUCGGCUCAUCGCAUCCUGGGGCUGAAGUAGGUCCCAAGGGUUGGGCUGUUCGCCCAUUAAAGCGGUACGUGAGCUGGGUUCAGAACGUCGUGAGACAGUUCGGUCCCUAUCCAUCGCGGGCGCAGGAAACUUGCGGGGAGCCGUCCCUAGUACGAGAGGACCGGGAUGGACGGACCGCUGGUGUACCAGUUGUCGUGCCAACGGCAACGCUGGGUGGCCAAGUCCGGACGGGAUAAACGCUGAAAGCAUCUAAGUGUGAAGCCCACCCCAAGAUGAGGUUUCCCAUGGCACAGGCCAGUAAGACCCCUUGCAGAUGACGAGGUAGAUAGGCCAGGUGUGUAAGGAGGGUAACCUCCUCAGCUGACUGGUACUAAUAGGUCGAGGGCUUGACCU